CACACCCGACCAACCUAAGAACCGAGAAAAGACGACGUCAAGUGGACCCCGGACGUUUAACGUCAGCCCGUGACGUACGAGGCGGUCCUACAGAUACUUAACCCUCUGACGCCUGUGACUGGACCAAUCACGUGAUAGGAAUAUCUUGAAGAAUAAAAGGCAUUCUACCCUCGCUGCAAAGCUCAACCUAAAUGGCUGAGGCUGAGCCUCCCCAAAUAUUUCUGUACUCCACGCCAUAACUCAUACUCACUUGAUGGUUUAUCAGGUCCUUGUUGCUCUGCCUUUCAAUUAACUGUCUGUUAAACUUAACUACAAAGGAUUCAAUAACCAACUAGAACUGUUCUUGCUGGUAUGAUGUGAACACACAUCUUGGUGAGUGGGCACAUGAAACCAAUAUAACGGUUAUAAAAAUGAAAUGUUAUUUGUAUGUAGCAUCCUGAUGCUCUCUGGCAGAGAAUACAUUGCAUGUUACUUUUGCGAACAGUCUCCAAGCUCAUACACCUAUUUCACAGUUCUUCACAAAAAUUUGGAAUCGAGUUGUUAAAUAAAUUAAAGGAGGAAUGGGGGCACAUUGAUAUGAGCAUGAGGACAUCCUUCAUCUAUACAUGAAGAAUAUGUAAAUAACGUAUACCAUGAUUGGCACCUGCGGAUGGAGGUAUUUUCACUCAUUACUGAAACCUUAGCUACUAAUUUGGAGCCAGAUCCUUGGUUAGCACUUUUACUAUGAAAACAAAUUCUCCUUCCCCUUCCCCACUUUCUAUAUCCUGAGAAAAUACUAAAGACAAUAAAACUGUUACAUUAGGUAAGAUUUAUUGACAACUGUUAGAACACAGGAAAGCUACCAUACAAGUUAUGUAUACAGGGCCCCCCCAUAAACACAAGCACACAGUACCAAAAUGGAACUAUAGGUGGCCCUAUGAAACUGAUAGGUGCCUAAUAAUUGAUCAUUCCACAGCAAGGAAUUUGAUGUAGGAGAAACUCAUAUAAUUCAGUGAACAGCUCAAAAUAUAAACAGCUGAUGUUUCUCUAUAAGUAGUUCAUAUAAAUAGUUCUAUUAAUUAAUGUGCUAAGUUACAAUCAGUUAAUUGGGAGGACAGCCUAGAUGAGCAGCAGGCUCUGUAGCAGUAGAGUCAUCUUAUUGAAGAGCUACUGAGCCUAGAUAGUGAGAGGUCUAGUGGUAUAACUGUAUGCUCUAGGAAGUGUAAGAUCGCUAGAUAACUAGACUGGGCAACUAGGAGUUAGUGGGCAUUUAGUUCCCAGCGGGAAACCUGUCAGCCAGGAAUUGAGAGGAGAUAGAGCCAGCUAGGGCCCAAGAGGAGUGCCUGCGAACGUGAGUCCCCCCUGGCAGUGUGCAGUUACAGGAAGAGUCAUAUCUGUAAACCGGAAGAUUGAGCCCUGUGAAUGUGCUGCUGUUCUGUUAAAGGCCAUAACAAAUAAAGAGAAAGUGAUUGAA